ACAGCGGUGGAGUAUGUGGUUUAAUUCGAUGCAACGCGAAGAACCUUACCUGGUCUUGACAUCCCGGAGACCCUUAGGAAACUAGGGGGUGCUUCCAUCUGGAAGAAUCUGGAGACAGGUGCUGCAUGGCUGUCGUCAGCUCGUGUCGUGAGAUGUUGGGUUAAGUCCCGCAACGAGCGCAACCCUUGCCUUUAGUUGCCAGCAGUUCGGCUGGGCACUCUAAAGGGACUGCCGGUGUUAAACCGGAGGAAGGUGGGGAUGACGUCAAGUCCUCAUGGCCUUUAUGACCAGGGCUACACACGUACUACAAUGGCCGAUACAAAGGGCAGCGACACUGCGAGGUGAAGCCAAUCCCGUAAAAUCGGUCUCAGUCCGGAUUGGAGUCUGCAACUCGACUCCAUGAAGUUGGAAUCGCUAGUAAUCGUGGAUCAGCAUGCCACGGUGAAUACGUUCCCGGGCCUU
rnacentral:rRNA from 1 species